rnacentral:rRNA from 1 species
UACGGGGGGGCAAGCGUUGUUCGGAAUUACUGGGCGUAAAGGGCUCGUAGGCGGCCAACUAAGUCAGACGUGAAAUCCCUCGGCUUAACCGGGGAACUGCGUCUGAUACUGGAUGGCUUGAAUCCGGGAGAGGGAUGCGGAAUUCCAGGUGUAGCGGUGAAAUGCGUAGAUAUCUGGAGGAACACCGGUGGCGAAGGCGGCAUCCUGGACCGGCAUUGACGCUGAGGAGCGAAAGCCAGGGGAGCAAACGGGG